rnacentral:rRNA from 1 species
AUUGAACGCUGGCGGCAUGCUUUACACAUGCAAGUCGAACGGUAACAGGCCUUCGGGUGCUGCCGAGUGGCGAACGGGUGAGUAAUGCAUCGGAACGUGCCCAGAGGUGGGGGAUAACGCAGCGAAAGCUGUGCUAAUACCGCAUGUGAUCUGAGGAUGAAAGCGGGGGACCAGGCAGCAAUGUUUGGCCUCGCGCCUUUGGAGCGGCCGAUGUCAGAUUAGGUAGUUGGUGGGGUAAAGGCCUACCAAGCCGACGAUCUGUAGCUGGUCUGAGAGGACGACCAGCCACACUGGGACUGAGACACGGCCCAGACUCCUACGGGAGGCAGCAGUGGGGAAUUUUGGACAAUGGGCGCAAGCCUGAUCCAGCAAUGCCGCGUGCGGGAAGAAGGCCUUCGGGUUGUAAACCGCUUUUGUACGGAACGAAAAGGCUCUGGCUAAUACCUGGGGCUGAUGACGGUACCGUAAGAAUAAGCACCGGCUAACUACGUG